rnacentral:rRNA from 1 species
CCUACGGGAGGCAGCAGUGAGGAAUAUUGGUCAAUGGGCGCUAGCCUGAACCAGCCAAGUAGCGUGAAGGAUGACUGCCCUAUGGGUUGUAAACUUCUUUUAUAUGGGAAUAAAGUGCAGUAUGUAUACUGCUUUGCAUGUACCUUAUGAAUAAGGAUCGGCUAACCCCGUGCCAGCCGCCGCGGUAAUACGGAGGAUCCGAGCGUUAACCGGGUUUAUUGGGUUUAAAGGGAGCGUAGGAGGGUUUUUAAGUCAGUUGUGAAAGUUUGCGGCUCAACCGUAAAAUUGCAGUUGAUACUGGCAUCCUUGAGUACGGUAGAGGUAGGCGGAAUUCGUGGUGGAGCGGUGAAAUGCUUAGAUAUCACGAAGAACUCCGAUUGCGAAGGCAGCCUGCUGGACUGUAACUGACGCUGAUGCACGAAAGUGUGGGGAUCAAACAGGAUUAGAUACCCGUGUAGUC